rnacentral:rRNA from 1 species
GUCUACAGCCAUACCACCCUAAAUGUGCCUAAUCUCAUCUGGUCUUGGAAGCAAAGCAGGAUCGGGCCUGGUUAGUACUUGGAUGGGGGACAAAUCUUCAAAAGAGACUGCUCAGAGACAAGCAGUUUGGAGACA